rfam:Camelus ferus unplaced genomic scaffold scaffold539, whole genome shotgun sequence.
GUGGGUAUAGCUCUGUGGUAGAGCACAUGCUUAGCAUGCACCAGGUCCUGGGUUCAAUCCCCAGUUACCUCCA